rnacentral:rRNA from 1 species
AUUGAACGCUGGCGGCAGGACUAACAAAUUCAAGUCGAGCGGAACGGCGGACGGGGGAGUAAUGGCUAGGAAUCUUCCUGGUAGUGGGGGAUAACGUCCGGGAACGGGCGCUAAUAACGCAUAGUCUAAGAUAAGCCUAGGUCGGAUUAGCUAGUUGGUGGGGAAAAGGCCUACCAAGGCGACGAUCCGUAACUGGUCGGAGAGGAUGAUCAGUCACACUGGAACUGAGACACGGUCCAGACUCCUACGGGAGGCAGCAGUGGGGAAUAUUGGACAAUGGGCGAAAGCCUGAUCCAGCCAUGCCGCGUGUGUGAAGAAGGUCUUCGGAUUGUAAAGCACUUUAAGUUGGGAGGCGUUACCAACAGAAUAAGCACCGGCUAACUUCGUGCCAGCAGCCGCGGUAAUAC